UUGAACGCUGGCGGCAGGCCUCACACAUGCAAGUCGAGCGGAUGAAGGGAGCUUGCUCCUGGAUUCAGCGGCGGACGGGUGAGUAAUGCCUAGGAAUCUGCCUGGUAGUGGGGGAUAACGUCCGGAAACGGGCGCUAAUACCGCAUACGUCCUGAGGGAGAAAGUGGGGGAUCUUCGGACUCCAGCUAUCAGGUGGGGCUUGGGCGGGUUAGCUUGUUGGUGGGGUAAAGGCCUACCAAGGCGACUAUCCGUAACUGGUCUGAGAGGAUGAUCAGUCACACUGGAACUGAGACACGGUCCAGACUCCUACGGGAGGCAGCAGUGGGGAAUAUUGGACAAUGGGCGAAAGCCUGAUCCAGCCAUGCCGCGUGUGUGAAGAAGGUCUUCGGAUUGUAAAGCACUUUAAGUUGGGAGGAAGGGCAGUAAGUUAAUACCUUGCUGUUUUGACGUUACCAACAGAAUAAGCACCGGCUAACUUCGUG
rnacentral:rRNA from 1 species